rnacentral:tRNA from 2 species
CGGGAUGUAGCGCAGCCCGGUAGCGCACCACUUUGGGGUAGUGGGGGUCGGCGGUUCAAAUCCGCCCAUUCCGACCA